AAUAGACAUUCACAGCCUAUGCAGUAAUCUCCACAGUGGAGUAAAGAAGAUCCUACAAUGAUCCCGUCCAGGACACCACAUUACACUUAAUCAUCUUUCACCUUCAACUUCUUUUGGCUCCCUUCCAUCUGGAGAGACCUUGGAAAACCAGCGCCAUUGUCAAUCCUUGAGCGUAUGCUUCUGAAGUGUUCUGCUGAGGCAAUUGUCUUUCUUUCAUCUGCC